CAGUCGCCGCGGUAAUACGGAGGGGGCUAGCGUUGUUCGGAAUUACUGGGCGUAAAGCGCACGUAGGCGGCUGUGUAAGUCAGAGGUGAAAGCCCGGGGCUCAACCCCGGAAUAGCCUUUGAGACUGCAUAGCUUGAACACGGGAGAGGUGAGUGGAAUUCCGAGUGUAGAGGUGAAAUUCGUAGAUAUUAGGAAGAACACCAGUGGCGAAGGCGACUUUCUGGACGAAAACUGACGCUGAGGCGCGAAAGCCAGGGGAGCGAACGGGAUUAGAUACCCGAGUAGUCCCUGUCUCUUAUAC
rnacentral:rRNA from 1 species